rnacentral:lncRNA from 1 species
UUUGCAUGUGUAAAUGUUCAUUUUGUCAUUGGAAAGGCUCAAAAGUAUUGCUUCGAUUUUCUAAAUCUAGUUCUCAAUCGCUUAGUACUUCAGUUGCAACUUAAAUUUGGGCAUUUAAUUAUUCACCAAGUUUGUUUCCAUUUGUACUUCAAUGUGUGAGAACUUUCUCACAUAUAUUUGGUUGCAUCUAUGUCAUAAUUUUUAAUGCAUUUUGCAGACUGGGUAAUGAAGAACCUGUGGUGCAAUCAACAUCUGGUCUUUUUACAUGUGCUGUAUGCCAAAUCGACCUUGCUCCGAGUGAGGGAAUCUCUGUUCAUGCUGGUUCCAUCUUCUCCACUAGCUCAAAGCCCUGGCAAGGGCCUUUCCUCUGCGCUGAUUGCCGAAAUAAGAAGGAUGCCAUGGAAGGAAAACGCCCUAGUGGAGUUAAAGUAGCAUAACUCCUUUAUUGUAACCUCCUUAUUCUUUCCCACUUCAUUCUAUUUUUUUGUGCCCACUUUCGAUUAGGCUAGUGAAUUGUUUGAAUCUUACCAUAGUGCUACAUCAAUUGUAUAUGUAAUAUAUGCAAAUAAUGUAAAAUGAGUUUUAGCGCCUCAGGGAGAGCUGAUUGAUUAUUGGGUGUUCCUUUAGAAUUCCAAAACUUUUGGCGGUCUUGUUUUUUGCGUUAGUGCUAACCAAGCCACGAAGAUUACAAAUAAAGAUUACUAUGUGCCAAAGCAGUGGAACUCUAGUGAAAACUGCGUCAUUCUUUGUUGCCUGAUAUUUAUUGAAAUGGACGUCUCUAAUUCCAUAUUUAUCGAAAAUUGCACCAAUUUACAAAGUAGAAAGGGGGAGGAAAACAGUGCAUUCUGAUACCUAAUGGUAUUUUUACAAUGUUAUUAGUAUACUUUUUGAAGAGUCUGCUAUACUUUGUAUAGUUGAAGAGUCUGCUGGUGAGCCCGGCGAAGAUAAGAAGGGCUUGGGUGGGAUUUGCAAGGAAUCGAGGCUUGCUUCCAACAUUUCCACUACUCUAUUCAUUGUUGGCCGGCUUGAGGGGUUAGUCUGUAUGCACCACAAGCUUACAAUUAUCAUCUUCCUUGCAUAUUCUUUAUCUUGUUCAUUUUCAAUGCCUUGCAGUCCAAGUUCUUCAUCCUUUUCUAGACGCUUGUAAAUCCAAUGCGGAAAAUAUAUGUCACUGCUUCCAUUAUCCCCAACAUCAACGUUCUUUCUUCCUCCAGUCAUUUCGAAAAUCAUCAUUCCGUAGCUAUAAACAUCCGACUUGUAAGAGACUUCCCCAAUAUUUCUACAGAACACUUCUGGAGCAAUAUACCCAACAGUCCCCCGUGCACCUGUCAUUGAGAUGAUACUCUCUUUCCUGUUGCAGAUUUUAGCUAGGCCGAAAUCAGAGAUCUUAGGACAGAAGUCUUCAUCUAGGAGAAUGUUAUGAGGCUUGAUGUCAAAAUGCAGAAUUCGUGUACUGCAGCCAAGGUGCAAGUACUCUAAUCCUCGAGCUAUGCCUACUGCAAUUUGGAGCAACGUUUCCCAGGUCAAUUUAUGAUUUUCUAUCGAUGAGCUGUUUCUAUAAAUGAACUUCUCCAGAGAUCCAUUGGACACAAACUCGUAGAUGAGAGCUCUUCUGCGACCCUCAAAACAGAAUCCUAAAAGAGUGACGACGUUAACAUGGGAAGUCCUGCUAAUGCUAGCAACCUCAUUGAUGAAUUCUUCACCAUUUCCUUUUGAAUCAUUUAAGACUUUUACUGCCACAUUACUACCGUCAAUUAGUUUUCCUUUGUAAACACUUCCAUAGCCUCCUUGGCCGAGUUUAUAUUUGAAAGAAUUGGUCAUUUUCUUAAUAUCUGCAUGGCUAUAUCUUCUAGGAGCUAGAGAUCCAUGAUUCCUUAAAAAUGUCUCAAUGUUCAGACAACUUCCAGUGGAAUCGUAUGAUGAAAAUUUUCUAUAGAACAUGAUCCAGAAGGACAAAAGUGCAAUCAGGACAAUUGAUCCGCCACCUAAUGUGCAAAAUGAAAAGCUUUAAUUUUUUUCACCAACAUGGUGCUGUGCUGGAAAACACAAAUUACAAAUGAAAUUUCUUUUCAAUUCCCAUUGAAGGCUGCAGAGAAAUUUAUGCAGCAGAGAUUAGAGAGGUAUAUUACCUAGUCCCAGGCCUAGCUUUAAUUCCGAUUUUUCAUGUCCUGCAACACAAAUACAAAGAAAAUGGUGUUAGUUUAGACAAUAAAUAAAGCAGUUAUAGUUUAGGCAAUAAAUACAGCAGUUAUGUAAUUAGAGCAUCCAAAUUCUUGACAGCAUCGCACAGAAACAGAGAGGCUGCACAUCUCAAACUUAUAUUUUUGUCUUCCUGAGAUGAAUUAGCGGCUUCUUCCAAUCCCGGGUAAGGAGUCAGUUUUUUUUUUUUUUUGAGAAGUCAGUUGAAAUAACCAAAUAAAGAAAUCAGUGUAUAAAGAGAGGAAUUCGUUUGUGGCAUGUUAUCGAAAUAGACCUAGCUUUUACAACUGUUUAAUAAUGUGAGUAGUACAGAGCAGAAAGACUAUGAACGAACGUGUAUAUGUUCAUGAAGAUGAACUAGUCCUAAUACCUUAUGUAACUUUUGAUACCUGUCCGUUCGUUUUCACAUUGAAAAUUUUCCUUGUCAUCAAAAUGACAGUGGCCUCGUUUCUUAAGACAAUCAUUACAUUCUCUUGAUUCAGCACAUUGAAACUUUCCCUCGCUAUCACUUCGACACUGGCCCCCUCUCCAGCCACAUUCCCAACAAAACCAGGGUAUUUCCACUUGAAGAGAGAAAACUGAAGUUAACAUAUUGAACAAGUCAUCAGAUUUUCUAGUCUUAUUCACUGGGAGCUGAAUCAGUGAACAGUUAGGUGGAACAAUACGUGGUAAAGCAUCAUCCGGGUGAUUGUAAUAAAUAAAGGAGUUAUGGUUGCAGGUAAAAUGGAAACUCGGGAGGUUUUUCUCAAGCUUGUGGGUGCAUCUGAAGAGGCUCAGAUUUGAUUUGAUAUGAAAAGAGAGAGAAGCAGAGGUGGGGAGAGUCAAAUUUUCGAAGGAUUCACAGCUAGAGUUGCCCAAGUGAUUUUGAAACACUUGGUCUUCAAGAGUGAUUGAAGCAUCCUGGGCUAUGUUUAAAAUAUUAUAAAACGGCCCGGCCUUCCCCAAUCGAAUUCUCUGAACUGGUUUGUUGCAGUUAUCUACUAACAUCAACCCACAUUCAGGAUGCGUCCUAUUGGUGAAAGGAAAGAAAAAUUGACCGAGAUUUCCACAUGAGGGAAAAAAAGAUGGACAUGUUUUAUUCAGUUCACUUUCUUCUUCAGCCGAAGAAAGAAGUAAAAGUUGAGAGAUAACAAAGAACACAAGAAACGAGUAACAAGCCAUUAAUAUUCCGAAUUCCCAAUAUGGCUGGAGAAAUCAACUAAUAAACUGCUAAGAAUAUUCUUAAUCAACUAAUAAACUACUAAGAAUAAUCUUUGUAAUUCUUCAAAUUAUCUUGCAAUUUCUGCUAUUUUUCCUUGUCCACAUGUUUUGUUGCUAAAUCCAUAGAACACGCCAGUUGACUUGGAAAGACUUGUAGAUGUAGUGAUACUGAAACAAGUUCGAGCUGCGCAUGACUGCAUUCUACUGGACACUUUGCAGCUGUAGGACGUGAAAUACUUAUUCAAAAUGAUGGAUAAGUGUUUAACUCGUCCAGGAGAAGGGCCCCUUGAAGUAAGAAUGUUUUUUUUUUUUCCUUAAAAAUAAAUGCAGCUGUGAAUUACCUAAUAUUCUCCGUUUUUACGUCUCUGUGAUAUAGGCUGCAUAAAAUACGAAGGGAAAGUUUCAUGCUCUUAUAUAAAAAAUAAUGGAUAGGGCCGUAUCUCUAAAUAUAAUUGUUCAAGAUCUAAGUAUUCUCUAUACACUACAGUUGACGUAAGGUUUCUUUUACCCUAUUCUACUUAUAGCUUCUUUGUGAGGGAUAACAAAAUUGAGUGCGAGCGAAUUGGUUAGAGUAGGGACCCUUUUUAUAAUUAGCCUUAAAAUACAAUUUAAGACUCUUGAACUCCUACUAUUAAACAAGUGAGAUUAACAUAACUCUUUCACUUCCUUUUGUCAAAGACGUGAAUAAGUUAUAUACUUUAAUUUAUGGCUUAAUUAAAUAUCAUCUCUUAAUUGGAUAAUAAUUAUAAAUUGAUUUACUUUAGUUAAUUAAUUACUCAAUGUCACGUGUACCAUAUAUUGUCAAUUCUUAUAAUACUCACUACCUUAGAUUAUGAAAAACAGAGAAAUUAUUUGUUAAUUUUUCAAAGCAAUUAUAUAUCUAUUGUUGUUUUCCCCCCCACUUUUUUCGUGGUUACAACAGAGAGAUCUAUUUAUCUACCACAAACGAUAAAUCUAGAAUGCUUUCAAAGUUAUUAUUGCAUGUUUACUAAUUUAGUGUGGAACAGAAGUGUUCAGGAUGCUACCUAUCUUGAAUCCCAAGUUAAUUCAAUUCUUGGUCUCUUUGUUGAAAAAGUAGUGCAUGAAUGAAUAAUAAAGUGGAUAUUACAUGCAUUAAUGGUUAAUUAGAAGAAUCGCCAUUUUAUGCUAGAAAUUCAACUGAUGUAGGUAACUUUCGGAGAUAUGUUUUCAUACCGAAUAAAUGCAACACGAAAAUCAUUGUUUUAAUAUGUUUGCAUGGUCUAAAUUCUCAAGUAGAUAUGGAGGCUGCAAAUGAAGGAUUUGGUCCAUUUUCUUUGACAUGUCAUCAAACCACUUUUUGGCUACAAAUAGAACCCUCGUUUGACAUAGCAAAUCAUCCCGAAGCAGCACGAGUGAGAGCACAAAGAGUUCAAGUCACAAAAAUAUUUGAUGUCUAUUGAUUAUGUAUUGAUAACUUCAUGAAAUGAGAAUUAUCAUGACAUUUCUAAACUUAAACUAGCAUUACUUAGAGAGUAAAUUAUAUGUUUUUAUUACAUCUUUAGUUACAUUUUGCAUGAGCAUCUAUAUAAGUUUAAUUUUAAUAAAUUGAUUAUAUUUUAUAUCAUUUUGUGUUAUGAUUAUGUGCAUGAUUGUAGGUGACCAAAAAACUCAAACUUUAUGGAUGGAUUGUUGCAGUAGUAGACUUGCAGAAAUGACAAAAAACUUAUCUGCAGAUGAACUAAAACAAAUUUGAAUAAGAGAAGAUGUUGUAGCAAUUGCUGCAGCAAUCCAAGAGCAAAUACUGGCAAGACUACCCGCAUAUUAAUUGACAAAGCAGUGACAGGCGGCACAAAAAGAUAUGCGAUCCAAGUUUUCAAAAAAAGAGACACGUGGCCACAUGCUUUUGAUUGCCCUAAUUCUAAGAUAUAAAAAGAGCACACGUGAAAGAAACAAGAGGGAGGGGGCCGACACAUAGAAGCAACGAAGAGAAAAAGAAAAAUAAGAGAAUAAGAGAGAGUUGGGGGUUGCAACAAGGGAUUUCAAAGAAAAAGUUGGAGACAUCGCAAAACCUAGGAGCGGGACAUCUUGAAUUUAGUGAAUCUCAAUUCCUCAUCUUUAUUUGCAUGUUUUCAUCUCUUUAUUGGAAUAUAUUUGACGGCAAAAACGUGUGUUGCUACCAUUUUAUCACCUAUCAUGAACUAAACUUUGAUGUAGUUAGGUGUUAAACAAGCUUAAUGGUUAUGACAUGACUGUUUCUAUGAAUGAAUUUUGUAUAGAUCGUAAAGAAAUGAUAAGUAAAUCUUGAGAAGUUGUGAGAACCUUACCGUAACUUGCUGUAGCUACUAUUCCAUUUGAACAGUGAAGAUACCCCUUGCUGUUAAUUAGGCAUUGGCCUCCUCCUCUCGAAGGACAGUCAAUACAUUGUCGUCUUGCACGCCAGUUAGGGAGUACUUUUAGAGAGAAAUUGCCAGUUAACAGACGAAACAAGUCAGACGCGUAGCGAGUCUUACUCGCUGCCACUGGGAGCUGAAUAAGUGAACACUGAGGUGGAAGACUUGGUAGAUCAUCGUCAUCUGGGUGAUUGUAAAAGAUCGUGGAGUCAUCACAGGACAUAUUGAAAUUCAUGGGAAUGUUGCCAAGAAUUGUGGGGCAUUUGAACAGGGUUAAAUUUGAUAGGAUUUCAAAAGAGAUGGAAGGAGACCUGGGAAGAGAAAUAUUUUUGAAGGAUUCACAGCUGCGGUUGUCCAAGUGCCUUUGAAACACUUGAUCAUAAAGUGUAACAGUUUGAUCCGCAGAGAUGCUUGUGACAGAUAACCAUGGCUCAUUCUUUCCCAGUUGAAUCUUUUGAACUGGCUUGUCGCAGUCAUCCACUAAGCAGAAUCCACACUCAGGGUGUGUUCGUAUAGAGUAGGGGAAGUUGAUAUUGCGGAAUUUUCCACAAGAAAAAGAUGGACAACUUAGAUUGAAUCUCAUUUGUUCUUGAGCUAAGGAAAGAAGCAAAAGAUACGAGAGAAUGAAGAACAUAAGAUAAGAGACGUGAGCCAUUAGAAGAAUCCCUGAAUGGCAAGAGAGAUCAACUAAGAAUAAUCUCUGUCCGCAUUGCAUCUUUUAUCCCAGUCAUCUUUGCUAUUUCUUUCAGUUGUUUAACGUCUUGAACAAGUCAGUUGACUUGGAAAAAUGAAUUUGAAGGACGUAAAUGGUUGACCCGUGAUUAAAUGAAAAAUUUCCAAACUCCCUUUCCACAACUAGGACUAAGAAAGCUUGACGCUGUAAUUCUCCUCUUGAAGUAAGAAUAGUAAUAAUAACGAAAAUGCUAAUAAAAAGGGGCCUUCAAGGCUUCAAACGUUGUUCACGUUUUUGGAGAAAUCUUAACAUUUGAUAAAGCUCUUUACUUGAUGUUGCUAUGCUUGAAAUUUACAUAGACCUAAAUCUUGUAAGACAUGUCAUAUGGGCUCUCAUCUCUUAGUUGUAUAAAUAGCUGAGAUUUAAUUAUAGAAGAUGACUUGGCUUUUGAUUAAUUUUAAUAUGACUUUUGCACUCUCCAUAUCUCUCCUUAUCUUUCUCACGUCACUUUCCACAAAUAAAUCAAGGUUUUAUUAGGCAUUUUUUAGCUAUAGUGCUAACUAUACCACCAAGAUUACUAACGAAAGUUUACUGUCCCAAAGAAGUGCAACUCACGCCUUCAAUGAGUGAAAAAUUGAAAAUUGUAUCAGUGUUAUACGCUGAUAUUUAUCGAAAUGGACGUAUUAAUUCCUAAGCAGGAAAAUGUGCCUUUUCAUAGCUAAUGGGAUUACAAAGUUAGUAUACCGUGGAUGGUUGAAGAAUCUGCUGGUGAUCCUGGGGAAGACAAGAAAGGCUUGGGAGGAAUUUGCAAGGAACCAAGGGUUCCUUUCAACAUUUCCACCAAUCUACUCAUUGUUGGCCGGCUUGAGGGGUUAGUCUGUAUGCACCACAAGCUUACAAUUAUCAUCUUCCUUGCAUAUUCUAUACCUUCUUCAUUUUCACUGCCGUGCAAUCCAAGCGCUUCAUCCUUUUCAAGACGUUUGUAAAUCCAAUGCAGAAAAUAUACGUCACUGCUUCCAUUAUCCCGAGCAUCAAAGUUCUUUCUUGCUCCAUUCAUUUCGAAAAUCAUCAUUCCGUAGCUAUAAACAUGUGACUUGUAAGAGGCUUCUCCAAUAUUUCUACAGACACUUCUGGAGCAAUAUACCCAACAUUCCCCCGUGCACCUGUCAUUGAGAUGAUACUUUCUUUCCUGUUGCAGAUUUUAUAUAGGCCGUGUUAUAACUCAUAACAGCUACACAAGAAAUUUCAAGAAGCACUUUGAUAAUUGGACUUGAAAGAACUGAUCAGAGUAAACCAAUCAAGAAAGAAAUCACAAGAAACAGAUUCAGAGCACAGUUUCAAGUACACAAAUUGAUGAAGGAAAAAACUGCUCUUUUAUUGAUCUCAACAAUCUAAUUACAAGCUAAUCACAAAGAAGAAAUUACAAGGACCACAAUGAACCAAAUUGCAAGCAAAAUGAACAAGAAAUGAAGAAGAUAUCGAUAUGAUAUCAGAGGCUAGUCACAAGUGCCUUUUAUUCUGAUAUUUCUGGAAAAAGUCAUAACGAACUCCCAACGAAUUCUGCCACAUCAGCAUAAGUUUUUCAACUAGACCCCUCCAACUGAAGUCGAUCUUCACACUGCUCCAACAAUUCUUCAAAUCUUUCAUUUAAACCCAACGAACCUGCAACUUAUUUCCUCACAGGCCGAAAUCAGAGAUCUUGGGACAGAAGUCUUCAUCUAGGAGAAUGUUAUGAGGCUUGAUGUCAAAAUGCAGAAUUCAUGUACUGCAUCCAAGGUGCAAGUGCUCUAAUUCUCGAGCUACGCCUACUACAAUUUGUAGCAAUGUUUCUCGUGUCAAUUCAUGAUUUUCCGUCGAUAAGCUGUUUCUAUAAAUGAACUUCUCAAGAGGAUCCAUUGGACACAAACUCGUAGAUCAGAGCUCUUCUGCGACCCUCGAAACAGAAUCCUAAAAGAGUGACAAUGUUAACAUGGGAAGUCCUGCUAAUGCUAGCAACCUCGUUGAUGAAUUCUUCACCAUUGCCUUUUGAAUUAUUUAAGAGCUUUACUGCCACAUUAUGACCGUCAAAGUAGUUUUCCUUUGUAAACACCUCCAUAGCCUCCUUGGCCAAGUUGAUGUUUGAAAUAAUUGGUCAUUUUCUUAAUAUCUACAUAACAAUAUCUUUUAGGAGCCUGAGAUUCAUAAUUCCAUAAAAAUGCCUCAAUGUUCAGACAACUUUCAGUGGAAUUGUAUGAUGAAAGUUUUCACCUGAAGUAAAAGGCUAUAAAUAUCAAUAUGCCAACUGCAAUGGCUGAUGCUCCUGCAACCAGAGAAAGGAGUCACUGUCAACUUAAAAUUUCUUUCUCUACUUAAAGACAGAUGGAUGCUUCCCUCAAAACCAUGAGUAGAAGCCAAAAAAUACUUCAGAAAAUUUUGGAUGGUCCAAACAUUGUGCUAGCAGAUGUAUUUGAUUAAAAAGAUACAUUACUGUUUUCUGAGUUUUCUGUUUCCUGCAACAGAAUUAAACAAAGACUGGUGUUAGUUGAGAAUACGAAAAAAUGUCAUGAUGUUCUCAAAUCAUCCAAAUUUUGACAAAAUUGGACAGGCAACUGACAGAAUAGCCAAUCUCAACCAGAUACAGAACUUGCUGCAACAAAUCUGCUGCUUUCUCCAAAUACAGGUAAAGGGACAGCCGAAAUCCAACAAAUAAAUAAAAAGAGACUGAAAAAUAGGAACUCGUUUUGUUGCAUGUUAUUAGAUUAGACAUAGCUUAUGUAAAUGUACAAAAAGAAAAAAAAUAAAAAUUACUAACUCGGAGCAGAUAGUGUUUUGUUCUUAGAAUAACAAAGAACACAAGAAACGAGUAAGAAGCCAUUAAUAUUCCGAAUUCCCAAUAUGGCUGGAGAAAUCAACUAAUAAACUACUAAGAAUAUUCUUAAUCAACUAAUAAACUACUCAGAAUAAUCUUUGUAAUUCUGAAUAAUCUUUGGAAUGGCUUCAGGCUCUACCUCGAGCCUUAGUUGCUGGAUUUGUGAAGACUGACAAGGAAUUUCAGAGUAGAGGCAUGGAACUGUUCCUUGUUCUUAUUUUCAUUCUUGCACUUCUUUUUUAUUUCCCAUCUUUGACUUUUUGUUGUAAAUCAAGCAAAAGUAAUUUUGCUAUACUUGUUCAAUCAUCUUCAGGAGAAAUAUCUGGGACCACAGCUACAUUUGUUAUAGUUGACAGAUGGACUGCGACUGUUGCAUCUGUUGGAGAUUCUCGUUGUAUAUUGGAUGCUCAGGGUGGGGCUGUUUCCACCUUGACUGUAGAUCAUAGGCUUGAAGAGAAUGUGGAAGAGUGCGUUUCUAUAUCAAAGCUCUAUUUCUUCCCUUAUUCUGGAUAGACUUUUUAGUUGGUUAUGCUGCAACUGCAGGAGGGAACGCGUUACUGCAAGGAGGGGUGAAGUUGGGAGGCUUAGCAUUGUUGGAGGUGCUGAGGUAAGGUGUUUUAACAUAUUGGUCUCAAGUCUUAUUCAUUGGUCUUAAAGUAAAGGGCAGAAUUUCUACAAAAUAGAAAAAAUCUAUCCUGCAGUUUGUAACAAAAUUUGCAUAAACUUGACAGAUUGGUCCCCUCCGUUGCUGGCCUGGUGGUUUAUGCAUUUCUAGGUCAAUUGGAGACAUGGAUGUCGGGGAAUUUAUAGUACCAAUACCAUACGUCAAACAAGUAAAGGUAUCCGCCCUCCGCCCCUUUUUUGGGGGGGUUUCUAGAUCAUGUUUUUCACUUGUGAUUCUUUUCCAUCUUCGACUGUGUUACCCGUGAUUUUGAGAUGGGAUUGCUUGGUCUAUCUUCAGCAUGAACUCUUACUUUCUUCAUUGUUUUAAAAGCUAUCAAAUGCAGGUGGAAGGCUUAUUAUUGCUUCUGAUGGAAUCUGGGAUGCCCUAUCCUCAGAAAUGGCUGCACAAUGUUGCCGUGGAUUGCCGGCUGAACUCGCUGCCAGACAAGUGGUGAGGUAAUUUAAUUUGUUGUUUUACUACGUAUUUGUUGCCAGUUCUUUUUAGAAGAACCUGCUAACAUAGCUUUUGAGUAGUUUAUUGUUGUUCAGAUGAUUGCUUAGAAUGUUUUCUCACUGUAUUUGAUGGAUCACUAUUUAGGAAGCAUUAAGGACAAGGGGACUGAAGGAUGAUACAACUUGCAUAGUUGUUGACAUAAUUCCUCCUGACAAUACGAUGCAGCCUCAGCCUCCUCCCCAAAAGCAGAAUAAGCUGAGAGCGCUGCUAUUUAGGAAGAAGUCCCUUGAUUCAGCAAAUAAACUAUCAAAGAAGCUUUCAGCUGUAGGAAUAGUUUAAGAACUGUUCGAAGAAGGCUCGGCAAUGCUUGCCGAAAGGUUAAUGCUGUCUCCUUUGCAUGUGUAAAUGUUCGAUUUGUCAUUGGAAAGGCUCAAAAGUAUUGCUCUGAUUUUCUAAAUCUAGUUCUCAAUCGCUUAAAUGUUCACUUUGUCAUAAUUUUUAAUGCAUUUUGCAGACUGGGUAAUGAAGAACCUGUGUUGCAAUCAACAUCUGGUCUUUUUACAUGUGCUGUAUGCCAAAUCGACCUUGCUCCGAGUGAGGGAAUCUCUGUUCAUGCUGGUUCCAUCUUCUCCACUAGCUCAAAGCCCUGGCAAGGGCCUUUCCUCUGCGCUGAUUGCCGAAAUAAGAAGGAUGCCAUGGAAGGAAAACGCCCUAGUGGAGUGAAAGUAGCAUAACUCCCUUAUUGUAACCUCCUUAUUCUUUCCCACUUCAUUCUAUUAUUUUGUGCCCACUUUCCAUUAGGCUAGUGAAUUGUUUGAAUCUUACCAUAGUGCUACAUCAAUUGUAUAUGUAAUAUAUGCAAAUAAUGUAAAAUGAGUUUUAGCGCCUCAGGGAGAGCUGAUUGAUUAUUGGGUGUUCCUUUGGAAUUCCAAAACUUUUGGCGGUCUUGUUUUUUGCGUUAGUGCUAACUAAACCACGAAUUUUACAAAUAAAGAUUACUAUGUGCCAAAGCAGUGGAACUCUAGUGAAAACUGCGUCAUUCUUUGUUGCCUGAUAUUUAUUGAAAUGGACGUCUCUUAUUCCAUAUUUAUCGAAAAUUGCACCAAUUUACAAAGUAGAAAGAGGGAGGAAAACAGUGCAUUCUGAUACCUAAUGGUAUUUUUACAAUGUUAUUAGUAUACUUUGUAUAGUUGAAGAGUCUGCUCGUGAGCACGGCGAGGAUAAGAAAGGCUUGGGUGGGAUUUGCAAGGAAUCGAGGCUUCCUUCCAACAUUUCCACUACUCUACUCAUUGUUGGCCGGCUUGAGGGGUUAGUCUGUAUGCACCACAAGCUUACAAUUAUCAUCUUCCUUGCAUAUUCUAUAUCUUCUUCAUUUUCAAUGCCUUGCAGUCCAAGUUCUUCAUCCUUUUCUAGACGCUUGUAAAUCCAAUGCGGAAAAUAUACGUCACUGCCUCCAUUAUCCCCAACAUCAGCGUUCUUUCUUCCUCCAGUCAUUUCGAAAAUCAUCAUUCCGUAGCUAUAAACAUCCGACUUGUAAGAGACUUCUCCAAUAUUUCUACAGAAUACUUCUGGAGCAAUAUACCCAACAGUCCCCCGUGCACAUGUCAUUGAGAUGAUACUCUCUUUCCUGUUGCAGAUUUUAGCUAGGCCGAAAUCAGAGAUCUUGGGACAGAAGUCUUCAUCUAGGAGAAUGUUAUGAGGCUUGAUGUCAAAAUGCAGAAUUCGUGUACUGCAGCCAAGGUGCAAGUACUCUAAUCCUCGAGCUAUGCCUACUGCAAUUUGGAACAAUGUUUCCCAGGUCAAUUUAUGAUUUUCUAUCGAUGAGCUGUUUCUAUAAAUGAACUUCUCAAGAGAUCCAUUGGACACAAACUCGUAGAUGAGAGCUCUUCUGCGACCCUCAAAACAGAAUCCUAAAAGAGCGACAACGUUAACAUGGGAAGUCCUGCUAAUGCUAGCAACCUCAUUGAUGAAUUCUUCACCAUUUCCUUUUGAAUCAUUUAAGACUUUUACUGCCACAUUACGACCGUCAGGUAGUUAUCCUUUGUAAACACUUCCAUAGCCUCCUUGGCCGAGUUUAUAUUUGAAAGAAUUGGUCAUUUUCUUAAUAUCUGCAUAGCUAUAUCUUUUAGGAGCUAGAGAUCCAUAAUUCCUUAAAAAUGUCUCAAUGUUCAGACAACUUGCAGUGGAACUGUAUGAUGAAAGUUUUCUCCUGAAGUAAAAGGCUAUAAAUAUCAAUAUGCCAAUUGCAAUGGCUGAUGCUCCUGCAACCAGAGAAAGGAGUCGCUGUCAACCUAAAAUUUCUUUCUCUAAUUAAAGACAGAUGGAUGCUUCCUUCAAAACUAUGAGUAGAAGCCAAGAAAUAGUUCAGCAAAUUUUGGAUAGUCCAAAAAUUGUGCUAGCAGAUGCUCCUUGAUUCUAUUGAGGAUUGCAAAAAAACACGAGUGGCAGAGAAGAAAUUUGAAGCGAUUAUAAGGUAUCCGAAUUUAUUUGAAUGUAGAACAAUAGGAAAAAUGUAAUAAACGACCGACCUAAGCCGGGCACUUGCCUUAGUCAAGUAGCAAUACACCAUUAAUGUAUUUGAUUAAAAAGAUACAUUACCUAGUCCUGGCAGAAGCUUCAAUCUGAGUUUUCUGUUUCCUGCAACAGAAUUAAACAAAGACUGGUGUUAGUUGAGACUGUUAAAAAAUGUAAUGAUGUUCUCCAAUCAUCCAAAUUUUGACAAAAUUGGACAGGCAACUGACAGAAUAGCCUAUCUCAACCAGAUACAGAACUUGCUGCAACAAGUCUGCUGCUUUCUCCAAAUACAGGUAAAGGGACAGCCAAAAUCCACCAAAUAAAGAAAUCAGUGUAAAAAGAGAGGAAUUCGUUUGUGGCAUGUUAUCGAAAUAGACAUAGCUUUUAUAACUGUAUAAUAAUGUGAGUAGUACAGAGCAGAAAGACUAUGAACGAACGUGUUUAUGUUCAUGAAGAUGAACUAGUCCUAAUACCUUAUGUAAUUUUGUUACCUGUCCGUUCGUUUGCACAUUGAAAAUUUCCCUCGCUAUCACUUUGACACUGGCCCCCUCUCCAGCGACAUUCAGUACAAACCCGGUGUACUUCCACUCGAAGAGAGAAAACUGAAGUUAACAUAUUGAACAAGUCAUCAAGUUUUCGAUUCUUAUUCACUGGGAGCUGAAUCAGUGAACAGUUAGGUGGAAGAAUACUUGGUAAAGCCUCAUCCGGGUGAUUGUAAUAAAUAAAGGAACUAUGAUUGCAGGUAGAAUGGAAACUUGUGAGCUUUUUCUCAAGCUUGUCGGUGCAUCGGAAGAGGCUCAGAUUUGAUUUGAUAUGAAAAGAGAGAGAAGUAGAGGUGGGGAGAGUCAAAUUUUCGAAGGAUUCACAGCUAGAGUUGCCCAAGUGAUUUUGAAACACUUGGUCUUCAAGAGUGAUCGAAGCAUCCUGAGCUAUGUUUAAAAUAUUAUAAAACGGCCCGGCCUUCCCCAGUCGAUUUCUCUGAACUGGUUUGUUGCAGUUAUCUACUACCAUCAACCCACAUUCAGGAUGCUUCGGAUUGGUGAAAGGAAAGGCAAAUUGACCGAGAUUUCCACACGAGGGAAAAAAAGAUGGACAUGUUUUAUUCAGUUCACUUUCUUCUUCAGCCGAAGAAAGAAGUAAAAGACGGGAGAUAACAAAGAACACAAGAAACGAGUAACAAGCCAUUAAUAUUCCGAAUUCCCAAUACGGCUGGAGAAAUCAACUAAUAAACUACCAAGAAUAUUCUUAAUCAACUAAUAAACUACUAAGAAUAAUCUUUGUAAUACGUCAAAUUAUCUUGCAAUUUCUGCUAUUUUUCCUUGUCCACAUGUUUGGUUGCUAAAUCCAUAGAACACGCCGGUUGACUUGGAAAGACUUGUAGAUGUAGUGAUACUGAAAGAAGUUCGAGCUGCGCAUGACUGCUUUCUGCCGGACCCUUUGUCGCUGUAGGACGCUAAACAAUUGACCCGUUCAAAAUGAUGGAUGAGUGUUUAACUCGUCCAGGAGAAGGGCCCCAUUCGCUUCGUAUUUUAUGCAGCCUAUAUCACAGAGACGUAAAAACGAAGAAUAUUAGGUAAUUUGCAGCUUCAUUUUUUUUUAAGGGAAAAAAAUCAUUCUUAAUAGAAAGAAAAAAAUUAUAUAAUAAAUUAUGGAUAGGGCCGUGUCUCUAAAAAUAGUUGUUCAAGAUCUAAGUAUCUAUUCACUCUAGUUGAUACACUCUAGUUGAUGUAAGAUUUCUUCUACUUUAUUCUACUUAUAACUUUUUUGUGAUGGAUAACAAAACUGAGUGCAAGCAAAGUAGUUAGAAUAGGGACCCUUUUAUAAUUAGCUUUAAGAUACAAUUUAAAAUUCUUGAACUCCUACUAUUAAACAAGUGAGUUUAACAUAACUCUUUCAGAGGUUGUACUUCUAACUUAUGGGAUGGUUGAAAUGCAUUUCAUUUUAUACUUUAUGGUUUCUUGAAUGUAACAUUAUUUUUCUAGGUCGCAGAGUGUUAGGCUACAUCCUUCACUUGAUCUUCUUCGGCUAUAUUUUAUUGUUUUGUAAAAUUUACCCUUCUUCUUUUGUUGCUAAUUUCAGGUAUUUGACGGGCACAAUGGGAAUGCUGCAGCAAUUUAUACAAAGGAGAAUUUGUUGAAUCAUGUGUUGCGUGCUAUUCCCCGUGGGCUUGGGCGGGAUGAAUGGCUUCAGGCUUUACCUCGAGCCUUAGUUGCUGGGUUUGUGAAGGCUGACUAGGAAUUUUAUGGUGAUAGUGAUAUGAGAGAUUGGGUGUAUUAGGGUUUUGGGUAGUAAGUCAAAAUAUUACAAUACUUAUAAUCCUCAUUUCAUCAGUAAAAUAUUUUUCUUCUGUCUUUGCCUAUGGACGUAGGUUAAAAGCCGAACCAUGUAAUUUUCUAGUGUCCUCUUUUGUGUUUGUUCUUUAUUUUCUUUUAAUUUCAUUUUAGUUGUGAUCCUACUUCAUCCAUCAAUUUUCCAACAAUGGUAUCAAAUCUAUUGGUUGUAUUUUUUGGAGUCGGGAUACUGUUCACGUAAAGGGUAUUGUUUGCGUAUAUGGCAUGGUUAACGUAUAUGGUACUAUUCAUGUAUACUAUAUUGUUCACGUAUACAUAACUGUUCAUAUAUACGGUAAUGUUCACGAGAAAACGGUGGGAGCGAUCCAAGAGUUUUGUGGUUCAAAACAGAGAAUAGUGGUGUGAGUGGAGUAACUAUGUGGUUUUGUACAUGUUUAGGAAAUUUCUGUCACUAAGGCGAUAAGAGCCUAAGGAGUCUAGGUUUUAAGUGGGACUGUUGUGACCCUCCAGUCUUUCAUGGGAACUUUCCUAGUGUGCAUUCUCACACAUACUCACAACUAUUCAAAGUGGUACACUAGCUUGUGUGCGGUAUUUAUCAACAAAAUAACGACAAAGUAUGAAAUUGAAAAGUUCAACAUCAAUAAUUUCUCGUUGUGGAAAAUGAAGAUGCGGGCAAUUUUGAGGAAAAAUAAUUGUUUAGCAGCAAAUGUUGAAGGGUUUGGCACCGCCAAAGAAAAAAAAGAGAAGAAGAAACAAAAGAAAAAGAGACGGGCCGCGUGAAGGAAAACAAUAAAAUAAAAAUAAAGCAUGAACAGUAGCCAAGUUUUGGCUAUAAAAGGAGGAUCCUCCUCCUCAUUUCCGCAUCCCAAUUUUGAGAAGCAUUUCCUGUAUUUAAAGAGAGAGUUUAGAGAGCUUAAAAUUAAAAGCUCUGGUGAUAGUGAUUUGAGAGAUUGGAUGUAUUGAGGUUUUAGGUAGUGAGUCAAAAUAUUACAAUAUUUGUAAUUCUCAUUUCAUUAGUAAAAUAUUUUCUUUCUGUCUUUAUCCGUAGACGUAAGUUAAAAGCUGAACUACGUAAUUUUCUCGUAUCCUUUUUUGUGCUUGUUCUUUAUUUUAUUCCAAUUUCAUUUUCGCUGUCACCCUGUUUCAUCCAGCAAUUUCCUAACAAAUUUCAUAGUAGAGGCAUGGAACUGUCUCUUGUUCUUACUUUCAUUCUUUCCUUCUUUUUUAUUCCCCAUCUUUGACUUUUUGUUGUAAAUCAAGCAAAGUAAUGUUGCUAUAAUUGUUCAAUCAUCUUCAGGAGAAACGCCUGCGACCACAGCUACAAUUGUUAUAGUUGACAGAUGGACUGUGACUGUUGCAUCCGUUGGAGAUUCUCGUUGUAUAUUGGAUGCUCAGGGUGGGGCUGCUUCCACAUUGACCGUUGAUCUUAGGCUUGAAGAGAAUGUGGAAGAGUGCGUUUCUAUAUGAAAGCUUUGUCUCUUCCCUUAUUCUGGAUAGACUUAUUAAUUGGUUAUGCUGCAACUGCAGGAGGGAACGUGUAGUAACUGCAAGUGGAUGUGAAGUUGGGAGGCUUAGCAUCGUUGGAGGUGCUGAGGUGAGGUGUUUAAACGUAUUGGUCAGGGUCUUGAAGUCUUAUUCAUUGGCCUUAAACUAAAGUGCAGAAUUUCUACAAAUAGAAAAAUCUAUCCUACAGUUUGUAACAAAAUUUGCAUAACCUUGACAGAUUGGUCCCCUCCGUUGCUGGCCUGGUGCUUUAUGCCUUUCUAGGUCAAUUGGAGACAUGGAUGUUGGAGAAUUUAUGGUACCAAUAUCACAUGUCAAACAAGUGAGGUAUCCGGCCCCCCUCUCUCUUUUUUUUUUUUUUUUUUUGGUUUCUAGAUCUUGUUUUUCACUUGCGAUUCCUCUCCAUAUUGUACUGUGUUGCCUGUCAUUUUGAGAUGGAAAUUUCGAGGUCUGUCUUCAGCAUGACCUCUUAUCGUCUUCAUUGUUUUAAAAGUUAUCAAAUGCAGUUGGAAGGCUUAUUAUUGCUUCUGAUGGAAUCUGGGAUACCCUAUCCUCAGAAAUGGCUGCAAAAAUGUUGCCGUGGAUUGCCAGCUGAACUCUCUGCCAGACAAGUGGUGAAGGUAAUUUGAUUUGUUGUUUUACUACGAAUUUGGUGACAUUCUUUUUUGAAGAACAUGCUAAUAUAACUUUUGAUUGUCGUUCAGAUGAUUGCUUAGAACGUUUUCUCACUGCAUUUGAUGGGUCACCAUUUAGGAAGCAUUAAGGACAAGGGGACUGAAGCAUGAUAAAACUUGCAUAUUUGUUGACAUAAUUCCUCCUGACAAUACGAUGCAGCCUCAGCCUCCUCCCAAAAAGCAAAAUAAGCUGAGAGCGCUGCUAUUUAGGAAGAAGUCCCUUGAUUCUGCAAAUAAACUAUCAAAUAAGCUUAAAUUGUUCGAAGAAGGCUCGGCAAUGCUUGCCGAAAGGUUACUGCUGUCUCCUUUGCAUGUGUAAAUGUUCAUUUUGUCACUGGAGAGGCUCAAUAAGUAUUGCUCCGAUUUUCUAAAUAUAGUCCUCAAUCUCUUAGUACUUCAGUUACAACUUAAAUUUGGGCAUUUAAUUAUUCACCAACUUUGUUUCCGUUUGUGCUUCAAUGUGUGAGAACUUUCUCACAUAUAUUUGGUUGCAUCUAUGUCAUAAUUUUUUAUGCAUUUUGCAGACUGGGUAAUGAAGAACCUGUGGUGCAAUCAACAUCUGGUCUUUUUACAUGUGCUGUAUGCCAAGUCGACCUUGUUCCGAGUGAGGGAAUCUCUGUUCAUGCUGGUUCCAUCUUCUCCACUAGCUCAAAACCCUAGCAAGGGCCUUUCCUCUGCGCUGAUUGCCGAAAUAAGAAGGAUG